rnacentral:rRNA from 1 species
GGGGGGGGGGGGGGGGGGGGGUGGGGGGGGGGGGGGGGGGGGGGGCUGCGGGUCGGGUGGCGCACGGGUGGGUAACGCGGGGGAACCUGCGCGUAGGUUCGGGAUAACUCCCCGGAAGGGGUGCUCAUACCGGUUAAUGUGUUCGGACCAAGGAUUUAUCGCCUUUGGAUGGGCCCGCGUUGGCUUGGCUAGUUGGUAGGGUAUACGCCUACCAAGGCGACGCUCCAUAGCUGGUCUGAGCGGAUGAUCAGCCACACUGGGACUGAGACACGGCCCAGACUCCUACGGGAGGCAGCAGUGGGGAAUAUUGGACAAUGGGCGAAAGCCUGAUCCAGCAAUGCCGCGUGAGUGAGGAAGGCCUUAGGGUUGUAAAGCUCUUUUACCCGGGAUGAUAAUGACAGUACCGGGAGAAUAAGCUCCGGCUAACUCCGUG